rfam:Gossypium arboreum cultivar AKA8401 contig_1259_3, whole genome shotgun sequence.
UGUUAAAAGUUUCUUCCAUUUGUACUAUUAAAAAUUGAUGUAGUUGACGGACUAACUAGAGAAUGACAUGGGAUAUGUUACAUGUACCUCUUCUUGACAUAUAAGGACUUAUUUUUAAUAGUAGAAAUGAAUUAAAAUUUUUAAAA